CCAUUUUUUGCGCCAAAAUCCAACGUCCGUGAUUUGCUGCACUUCUUACCAAAAACAAGUGUUCGUGUUCAAACCUUCUCUUCAGUUUUCAUACGUUACACACAAAAGAACAAAAAGAAUUCGCUUAUCGUCACCGUUAUUUCACCAUCAAUUUGUCUCCGGGUAUCGUUUGGCAAAACAGCCGUUUCAUUUUCUUGGGAAUCAAUGGAAUUAAAGCUCUAAUUCCUUCUUAUGAACAUACGCUCCCCCAUCCAGGUUCAGGCAUCUUCUCUACAAACAUUAUAACCAGGGGAAAUGUAUAGUUUGGACUUGAUCCUAAUACAGGAUAGCGUAAGUAUUGUUUAGAGGUCCACUUGAAGCCUUGGCCAGUCCACUAUAGCGGUAUCCGCACAUAAAUGGGAAGUGAUACCGAAAAAUGGGCAUUCUGCAUUUGAUGUUGGAAGAACCUACAGCGUAAUGUGAGUGGACAAGAAUCUUAUUGGAAUUUUCAGAUGGAAGUGCCGCCACCUGCCCCUAACUCCAAAUCAGAAUCACCCUUUAUUUUUUGUGGAACCACAAGUAUCGUUCAUGGUUGUAGCUACAAAUUAAUUGAUGCUGGAUGAACCUACAAGUACAUUUGAUGAUUUAUGUUAACAUGGUUGUACGUGGUGGUGUCUGCUAGAGGUCUUUGGGCGAUUUUUGUGGCAUCCAAAUUCCAAUUUUCUAAUUUACUUGCUAGAGUUUCAGCAGAUGCCCAUUCUGCAGUAGUCACCAUCUUUUUUCCUCUCUCUCUGUAUUGUGGAGUUGUCGUGCCGCACACAACACAGUAGUUUAAUCUUGAGAAGUAAUGUGUAUGAUGAUGUUGGACACCGUCAAGCAGAAUGGGUACUUUUUCCAACAACAAAGAAAAUCUCGAAGCGUUACUUUUUGUAAGAUGGGAAACGACUUUCGAGAUGUUUAUUGCUAUACGUUUGGGUGUUGAAACAUAUAUGGUCGUUUUAUUUUUAAGGCUAAAAUUUUGAAAUUUUAUUGAGAGCAUUA